rnacentral:rRNA from 1 species
AGAGUUUUCGAGUCCUGGCUCAGGCUGAACGCUGGCGGCGUGCCUAACACGAUGCAAGUCGAACGGAUCCAUAUUGAACCUAGUGAUGUAUGGGUUAGUGGCGACGGGUUGAGUAACGGCGUGGAUAACCUGCCGUAUACAGGGGGAUAACACUUAGAAAUAGGUGCUAAUACCGCAUAAGCGCACGGUUCCGCAUGGAACAGUGUGAAAAACUCCGGUGGUAUACGAUGGAUCCGCGUCUGAUUAGCCAGUUGCGGGGUGACGGCCCACCAAAGCGACGAUCAGUAGCCGGCCUGAGAGGGUGAACGGCCACAUUGGGACUGAGACACGGCCCAAACUCCUACGGGAGGGCAGCAGUGGGGAAUAUUGCACAAUGGGGGAAACCCUGAUGCAGCGACGCCGCGUGAGUGAAGAAGUAUCUCGGUACGUAAAGCUCUAUCAGCAGGGAAGAAAAUGACGGUACCUGACUAAGAAGCCCCGGCUAACUACGUG